UACGGAGGGUGCAAGCGUUGUUCGGAAUUAUUGGGCGUAAAGAGCAUGUAGGCGGUCUGUUUAGUCUGAUGUGAAAUCCCGGGGCUCAACCCCGGAAGUGCGUUGGAUACUGGCAGACUUGAGUAUGGGAGAGGAAAGUGGAAUUCCGAGUGUAGGAGUGAAAUCCGUAGAUAUUCGGAGGAACACCAGUGGCGAAGGCGGCUUUCUGGACCAAUACUGACGCUCAGAUGCGAAAGCGUGGGUAG
rnacentral:rRNA from 1 species